GACAGAGGCCUCGAGCGUUAGGCGGAAUCACUGGGCUUAAAGCGUGUGUAGGCGGAAGAGUAAGUACCUUGUGAAAUCCCACGGCUCACCCGUGGAACCGCUGGGUAUACUGCUCUUCUUGGGCCACUCAGGGGCGACUGGAACAAGCGGUGGAGCGGUGAAAUGCGUAGAUAUCGCUUGGAACGCCGAAGGUGAAAACAGGCUGCUGGGGUUGCGCCGACGCUGAGACACGAAAGCCAGGGGAGCAAACGGG
rnacentral:rRNA from 1 species